AACCUGGUUGAUCCUGCCAGUAGUGUAUGCUUUUCCUAAAGAUUAAGCCAUGCAUGCCUUCGAAUAAGAGGUUGCAAUUCUCUCUGAAUCUGCGAACGGCUCCGCAAACCAGUUGUAAGAUCUAGCAGGUCCCGGCGUGGGGCCCCCGCUUUCGGGCGGGGAUCCUGCGCCAUCUAUAUGGAUACCCGUGGUAAUUCUGAGGCUAAUACAUGACAACAAACUUCUGUCGCCAGCGGCCUUUCGAGGCUGCGGGUGGUGGGGGGAUGUGUGAGCCAAGGCUUGGUAGACUGGAUAGAACGCACGUACUUGACUGCCAUAAAAAACGGGUGGGGUCCUGCCUUCCGAGGCUGGGGUCCUGCUCGGGCGGCUCCUGGACAUCGCAUCUGACCUAUCAAUUAGACGGCAGCUUAUGGGACAUGCUAUGGUGGCAACGGGUACAGAGGAUAAGGGUUCGAUCCUGGAGAGUGGGCCUGAGAGAUUGCUCAUACUUCUAAGGAAGGCAGCAGGCGCGCAACGUUCCCCUUGGACAAUGUCCGAGGGCGUUAGGGGACAUAUGAAUGGCUGCCUUAAUGGUGGCCAAUUCAAAUGGGUCUGUCGUAAACAGGCUCUCGAGUAACAAUUAGAGGACAAGUCUGGUGCCAGCACCCGCGGUAAUUCCAGCUCUAAUAGCAUACGUUAAAGUUGUUGCGGUUAAAACGCUCGUAGUCGGGGGAAGGUCGUCAGAUACCAGAGCUGGAAGCCUGGGCCUGUGCUCCUAACGGGGCGCGCCGGGGGACUAGUGACGGCGGGCGGCGGCCAAGCGUGCCCAGUGGCGUGCGGCCCUUCGGGGUCGAUUACAGGGCCUCGUCUGGCUUCGGCUGGGCGUGGUUCGGCUGCUGGGUGCCAUUUGCCAUGAUUAAACUGGCGUGCUCAAAGCAGGUCCUUGCGGCCUCUGCACAGCUCAGCAUGGCAUAAGCAGAGCUUGCCCCCUCUCCAAGCGGGGUGGGGCAGGCAAAGUUUACAGAAAGGGGUGUUCGAGGGUGACCGAAUUGCCGGGCGAGUGGUGAAAUACGUUGAACCUGGCAAGUCGACCAAAGGCGAAAGCAGUCAUCAAGGGCACGCCCGUUGAUCAAGAGCGAAAGUUAAGGGUUCGAAGACGAUCAGAUACCGUCGUAGUCUUAACUAUAAAUGAUACUGGCCAGGGAUAGGGCAAUGUCCAUCUCGACUCCUCCUGAACUUUUAGGAAACUAAAGCCUUUGAGUUCUGGGGGGAGUAUGGUCGCAAGGCUGAAACUUAAAGGAAUUGACGGAAGGGCACACAAAGAGUGGAACCUGCGGCUUAAUUUGACUCAACACGGGAAAACUCACCAGGUCAGGAUACAAGCACGAGGGCCAAGCUGAUAGACUUUACCGAAUUUUGUAAGUGGUGGUGCAUGGCCGUUCUUAGUUCGUGGAGUGAUCUGUCUGGUCUAUUCCGAUAACGAGCGAGACCCCGGCGUUCUAAAUAGGGGCGGUAGCCCAGCUUGGUGUUGCCCUCGGGCGUGCCUUGCUAGCAACCCUCCUGCGAAGCAAUCUUCUUAGACGUAUUAGGGCCGAAAAGGUCCUUGAAAUGGGUUAAUAACAGGUCAGUCAUGCCCUUAGAUGUUCUGGGCCGCACGCGCGUUACAAUGGUAGGCAAAACAAGUGUUCAUUAUCGAGUCUUCCCACGGUCUACAGGGCGUGGCAAACCCUAAGGCCUCCCACGACUGGGAUAGACUAUUGCAAUUAUUGGUCUUCAACGAGGAAUUUUUAGUAGUCGCGGGUCAUUAGCCCGCGACGAAUGCGUCCCUGCCCUUUGUACACACCGCCCGUCGCUGCUACCGAUUGGGUUUCGCGGUUACGCGUUCGGAGACUGGGGCAACUGCCGCCUUUCCAGGCGGCGGGAGCCUUGGUGAAGUUCGAAUUACCGCACGG
rnacentral:rRNA from 1 species